AAUAGUAUGUUUUGCAAUAGUAUUCAAUGAGUACUUUAUAAGCUAAUAACAGUUUCAUUUCUGUUAUUUAAAAAUUAACCAUUUCUUCAGUUUAGGUCUGUCUUGAUUCCCAAGAAAGGGGGACAUUCAAUGUAUUGUUUUAAUUGCUUUGCUUUGAGUUGGUUUUCUGUAUAUUAAAAGCCUCUUACUUCACAGGUGUUGUUCCACAGGUAUGGUUCUUCAUUCGGGGGUAUGUGUCUUUUGAGAUUUCAGUGGGGUUUCAUUAGGUGGCUGAUUCCAUUAUUCCAGAAUAGAAAGAUGUUUUUCUUCAGUCUGGGAGAGCGUCCUCUGGGGAGGUCAGAGCUUUGGCGGGGCUGGAUUGGUGGACUAGUGCUCCAGUACUUGAAGGAAGGCCAGUGGGCUCAUCUCUGACAACAGGGGGCUCCUGGCUGUCAAUGCUGGGCACCCGCAACAUACACUGACAUAUUGACUUCACAUAGAAUCUAUGGUUGCAGUGUAACAAAAUAUUGAAAAAAAAAGAAAAGGCUCUGAUUCAGCAAGAUAAUACUGUCAAUGUAUGCAGACUUCUUACAAGGCCUAAAGAACAAGUCUAGCAUGCUUGUUAAAAUGUUGGGUUCUGGAGUCAUGCUGGGUCCUAUAGUCAGCCCUGAUUGCUCUUUGCUACCUGUGUAGAUAGCUGGUGAAGGAAUUGAAUGGUUCAUUGUACUUUAAAAUACAAUAGAGUUUGAUGAGUCCA